AUACGGAGGGUGCAAGCGUUAUUCGGAAUCACUGGGCGUAAAGGACGCGUAGGCGGGUUGGCAAGUCAGAUGUGAAAUCCUACAGCUUAACUGUAGAACUGCAUUUGAAACUGCUAACCUAGAGUAUGAGAGGGGGAGAUGGAAUUAGUGGUGUAGGGGUAAAAUCCGUAGAUAUCACUAGGAAUACCGAAAGCGAAGGCGAUCUCCUGGAACAUAACUGACGCUAAGGCGUGAAAGCGUGGGGAGCAAACAGAAUUAGAAACCCCGGUAGUCC
rnacentral:rRNA from 1 species